CGGCGGCCGGCCGGCGGCGGCGAGGGACGCUCAGCCUCACUCGGCCAGCAUCGGACCACCGGCACUCCACAAGUACAUUAUGUCCUACUUAACUAGCGGCAGCGGCGCGGGUGGCGGCGCAGACGUGCGCCAGUGUCGUCGGUCGGCGACCGGCUGCCGAGUGCGAGCGGCGAGCACCGCGCCGUGUCCCGUCUACCACGAUAUAUCUCGCAAAGUGUCGCCUGACGUCUUCCAACCGGGUUUAGACAUUUUCCUAUUCGCUCCUCUGUACCCCUGUUCGCCGAGUCGGAAGAAGAUACCGCUACUUUUCUAUCAAACGAACUCUGAAAGCCAACUUUAAAUAAAUACUUUGACUUUGACUUUUCA